GACGAACGCUGGCGGCGUGCUUAACACAUGCAAGUCGAGCGGAGCGGCGAACGGGUGAGGAACGCGUGAGUAACUGCCCCCCUCCCUGGGAUAACAGUUGGAAAUGGCUGCCAAUACCGGAUAGUGGGGGAUGGCGCGCGUCCAAUCAGCUUGUUGGUGGGGUAGUGGCCUACCAAGGGGACGACGGGUAGCCGGCCUGAGGGGGCGACCGGGCACAUUGGGCUGAAAUACGACCCGAGCUCCAACAGGAGGCAGCAGAGGGGAAUAUUGCACGAUGGGGGAAACCCUGAUGCAGCAGCGCCGCGUGCGGGAUGACGACCUUCGGGUUGUAAACCGCUUGCAGCCAUGACGCGGUAGUGGCAGAAGAAGCACCGGCUAACUACGUGCCAGCAGCCGCGGUAAUUC
rnacentral:rRNA from 1 species